GACGAACGCUGGCGGCGUGCUUAACACAUGCAAGUCGAACGAUGAACCGGUUUCGGCCGGGGAUUAGUGGCGAACGGGUGAGUAACACGUGGGCAAUCUGCCCUGCACUCUGGGAUAAGCCCGGGAAACUGGGUCUAAUACCGGAUACGACACUCCGAGGCAUCUUGGGGUGUGGAAAGUUCCGGCGGUGCAGGAUGAGCCCGCGGCCUAUCAGCUUGUUGGUGGGGUAAUGGCCUACCAAGGCGACGACGGGUAGCCGGCCUGAGAGGGUGACCGGCCACACUGGGACUGAGACACGGCCCAGACUCCUACGGGAGGCAGCAGUGGGGAAUAUUGCACAAUGGGCGGAAGCCUGAUGCAGCGACGCCGCGUGAGGGAUGACGGCCUUCGGGUUGUAAACCUCUUUCAGCAGGGAAGAAGCGAAAGUGACGGUACCUGCAGAAGAAGCACCGGCUAACUACGUG
rnacentral:rRNA from 1 species